UUAAAGGAAUUGACGGAAGGGCACCACAAGAAGUGGGGCCUGCGGUUCAAUUUGACUCAACGCGGGGUAUCCUACCAGGCCCGGACACUCGAAGGAUUGACAGAUUGAGAGCUCUUUCUUGAUUGGGUGCGUGGUGGUGCAUGGCCGUUCUUCGUUGGUGAGGCGACUUGUCUGCUUAAUUGCGAUAACGAACGAGACUCUAGCCUGCUAACUAGUCGACUCCGGCAUCCAUAGCGCAGCCGGCGACAAUACACCUUCUUAGAGGGACAGGUGGUUUAUAGCCACACGAGACUGAGCAAUAACAGGUCUGUGAUGCCCUUAGAUGUUCUGGGCCGCACGCGCGCCACACUGAAGGAAUCAGCGUGUGUUUUCCUAGCCCGAGAGGGCCGGGUAACCCGUUGAACCCCCUUCGUGCUAGGGAUUGGGGCUUGAAAUUAUUCCCCACGAACGAGGAAUUUCUAGUAAGCGCGAGUCAUAACCUCGCGUUGAUUAUGUCCCUGCCCUUUGUCCACACYGCCCGUCGCUACUACCGAUUGAAUGAUUUAGUGAGGUCUUCGGACCAGUGCGCGGCUUUCGAUAUUUUAUCGGAAAUCGAUGCUACCGGAAAGAUGACCGAACUUGAUUAUUUAGAGGAAGUAAAAGUCGUAACAAGGUUCUC
rnacentral:rRNA from 1 species